GGUGCAGGUGGCUUUGUAAGUCAGGUGUGAAAGCCCAGGGCUCAACCCUGGAAGUGCAUUUGAUACUGCGAAGCUUGAGUGCUGGAGAGGCUAUUAGAAUACAUGGUGUAGUGGUGAAAUACGUAGAUAUCAUGUGGAAUACCGGAGGCGAAGGCGGAUAGCUGGCCAGACACUGACACUCAGACCCGAAAGCGUGGGGAUCAAACA
rnacentral:rRNA from 1 species